CAUGAGAAUCCACGGAUUAUAAAAAGUCACACAAAAUCAUUUAAAAUCUAGAUUGAAUACACCCCCCUAAAACCCUAGCUUGCUCUUUGCCUCUUCCUCCUGUCCACAAUUUCUGUGUGCGGCGCCUUUCCAUCAGAAUCGCUCAAUUUUCCUGAUCAAAGUUUCAAAAGCCAUGUUAUUUUUCGGCCUAAGCCAACCUCGAGGCUUUGUUGAUUCGAGGUUGGCGUAGGGUGGAGUGGCGGAUCUAUUGUAGCGAUCUCGGAUGACGACGACUACGGUGGUUUGGAUCGACGAGGCAUCGAAGUCGUUCUCGCGGACCUCAGUGGGGAACAACUUCUUCACAUUUGACACUUCAACCAUAAAUCUUACGGUCCAGCAAAGUCUUACGGUUUAGCACUGCUCAGUUGUAGCUGCUAGUGACAGGAGACCACUUCUAUGGUAUAAGAUUUAUGUGCUGCUGCCGUGAGCCUCCUACUUGAGUACUUGAACAACAGAGGAAGGAUUGCAGCAUCAAAGGAAGGGUUGCAGCCUUAGGGAGGAAGAGUCUUCAUGUUUAAAUUUUCAAUUUUGAUGGGUUUAUAUGUAAAUUUGUAGUUUGUGUGGUUUAAUACAUUUUAAAAUACAGUAGACAGUACAGUAAUGUAGAGGUGCCAGUUGGCACCUUAUUUUUUUAAUCCAGCUUCAUAACUUUGCCACCAUCAGUGGCAUUCCAAAACCACCAUUACAGUGAUAAUUGGAGCAUUGUAGCUGCUGACAUGACAGUUGAUAUGACAACAUUCUUUUAAGUUGAAAA